GAUUAGUGGCGAACGGGUGAGUAACACGUGGGCAAUCUGCCCUGCACUCUGGGACAAGCCCUGGAAACGGGGUCUAAUACCGGAUAUGACCACCGGCCGCAUGGUCUGGUGGUGGAAAGCUCCGGCGGUGCAGGAUGAGCCCGCGGCCUAUCAGCUUGUUGGUGGGGUGAUGGCCUACCAAGGCGACGACGGGUAGCCGGCCUGAGAGGGCGACCGGCCACACUGGGACUGAGACACGGCCCAGACUCCUACGGGAGGCAGCAGUGGGGAAUAUUGCACAAUGGGCGCAAGCCUGAUGCAGCGACGCCGCGUGAGGGAUGACGGCCUUCGGGUUGUAAACCUCUUUCAGCAGGGAAGAAGCGCGAGUGACGGUACCUGCAGAAGAAGCACCGGCUAACUACGUGCCAGCAGCCGCGGUAAUACGUAGGGUGCGAGCGUUGUCCGGAAUUAUUGGGCGUAAAGAGCUCGUAGGCGGCCUGUCGCGUCGGAUGUGAAAGCCCGGGGCUUAACCCCGGGUCUGCAUUCGAUACGGGCAGGCUAGAGUUCGGCAGGGGAGAUUGGAAUUCCUGGUGUAGCGGUGAAAUGCGCAGAUAUCAGGAGGAACACCGGUGGCGAAGGCGGAUCUCUGGGCCGAUACUGACGCUGAGGAGCGAAAGCGUGGGGAGCGAACAGGAUUAGAUACCCUGGUAGUCCACGCCGUA
rnacentral:rRNA from 1 species